rnacentral:rRNA from 1 species
GCUGGCGGCAUGCCUCAUACAUGCAAGUCGAACGAAAUCUUCGGAUUUAGUGGCGCACGGGUGAGUAACAUGUGGGAAUCUACCUGAAGGUUCGGAAUAACUGCGGGAAACUGUAGCUAAUACCGGAUGUGUCUGCAAAGAGAAAGAUUUAUCGCCUUCAGAUGAGCCCGCACUAGAUUAGCUAGUUGGUGAGGUAACUGCUCCACCAAGGCUACGAUCUAUAGCUGAUUUGAGAGGAUGAUCAGCCACACUGGGACUGAGACACGGCCCAGACUCCUACGGGAGGCAGCAGUAGGGAAUAUUGGACAAUGGGGGAAACCCUGAUCCAGCAAUGCCGCGUGAGUGAAGAAGGCCCUCGGGUUGUAAAACUCUUUCAUCAAUGAUGAUAAUGACAUUAAUUGAAGAAGAAGCUCCGGCUAACUUCGUGCCAGCAGCCGCGGUAAUACGAAGGGGGCUAGCGUUGUUCGGAAUCACUGGGCGUAAAGCGUAUGUAGGCGGAUCAAAAAGUUAGAUGUGAAAUCCCUGGGCUCAACCCAGGAACUGCAUUUAAAACUAGUGAUCUAGAAUUUGGUAAGGGUUAGUAGAAUUUCCAGUGUAGAGGUGAAAUUCGUAGAUAUUGGAAAGAAUACCAGAAGCGAAGGCGACUAACUAGGCCAUUUUUGACGCUGAGAUACGAAAGCGUGGGUAGCAAACAGGAUUAGAUACCCUGGUAGUCCACGCAGUAAACGAUGAGUGCUAGUCGCUGGUACAAUAGUAUCAGUGUCGUAGCUAACGCAUUAAGCACUCCGCCUGGGAAGUACGGUC